GAUGAACGCUGGCGGCGUGCCUAAUACAUGCAAGUCGAGCGAACAGAUGAGGAGCUUGCUCCUCUGACGUUAGCGGCGGACGGGUGAGUAACACGUGGAUAACCUACCUAUAAGACUGGGAUAACUUCGGGAAACCGGAGCUAAUACCGGAUAAUAUAUUGAACCGCAUGGUUCAAUAGUGAAAGACGGUUUUGCUGUCACUUAUAGAUGGAUCCGCGCCGCAUUAGCUAGUUGGUAAGGUAACGGCUUACCAAGGCAACGAUGCGUAGCCGACCUGAGAGGGAGAUCGGCCGCACUGGAACGGAGACACGGUCCAGACUCCUGCGGGAGGCAGCAGUAGGGAAUCUUCCGCAAUGGGCGAAAGCUUGACGGAGCAACGCCGCGUGAGUGAUGAAGGUCUUCGGAUCGUAAAACUCUGUUAUUAGGGAAGAACAAAUGUGUAAGUAACUAUGCACGUCUUGACGGUACCUAAUCAGAAAGCCACGGCUAACUACGUG
rnacentral:rRNA from 1 species